GGGGAUUUAGCUCAGUGGUAGAGCACUUGCCUAGCAAGCACAAGGCCCUGGGUUCGGACCCCAGCUCCG
rnacentral:tRNA from 1 species